CUACCAGGGUAUCUAAUCCUGUUCGCUCCCCACGCUUUCGUGCCUGAGCGUCAGUACCCGUCCAGCUAUCCGUCUACACAUCUGGUGUUCCUCGUGAUAUUUACGCAUUUCACCGCUACACCACGAAUUCCGAUAGCCUCUCCGGGACUCAAGACCUGCAGUAUCAAGGGCAAUUCACCGGUUAGGCCGGUGGCUUUCACCCCUGACUUACAGGCCCGCCUGCGCACCCUUUACACCCAGUGAUUCCGGACAACGCUUGGACCCUCCGUAUUACCGCGGCUGCUGGCAC
rnacentral:rRNA from 1 species